rnacentral:misc_RNA from 1 species
UCAACCCUCAGGCCUGGCUUGUUGUUGGACUCGGGACCCUUGUCAGGGUUAACCGGUCUCAAAGACAAUGACGGCGUCCGUGAGACCCUCGGUACAAUGAGCUUUCUGAGCACGUACCGCAGUGGGCUGGCGGGCCCGGUCCUCCUUUUUUAAUUUCUAAGG